ensembl:lncRNA
GCCAAAAAGACCCGUAGUUGACCAGUGGUUGACCAGCAGUUCAUCUGAUGUUGACCAAUGGUUGCUCAUGAGGUAGCAGUGUGCCCUGGUGGCCAAAAAGAGCAAUGGUUGCCCAGUAGUUGACCAGCAGUUCAUCUGUAGUGGCCAAAAAGUGCAAUGGUUGACCAAUGGUCAACCAACAGUUCAUCUGUAGUUGACCAAUGGUUGCUCACCAGGCAGCAGUAUGGCCUGGUGGCUAAAAAGACCCAUGGUUGACCAAUGGUUGACCAGCAGUUCAUCUGAUGUUGACCAAUGGUUGCUCAUGAGGCUGCAGUGUGCCCUGGUGGCCAAAAAGACCCAUGGUUGACCAGUGGUUGACCAACAGUUCAUCUGUAGUGGCCAAAAAGAUCCAUGGUUGACCAAUGGUCAGCCAACAGUUCAUCUGUAGUUGCCCAAUGGUUGCUCAUGAGGCAUCAGUGUGCCCUGGUGGCCAAAAAGACCCAUGGUUGACCAGUAGUUGACCAGCAGUUCAUCAGUAGUUGACCAACAGUUGCUCACGAGGCAGCAGUGUGCCCUGGUGGCCUAAAAGAGCAAUGGUUGACCAGUGGUUGACCUACAGUUCAUCAGGAGUUGACCAAUGGUUGCCCAUGAGCCAGCAGUGUGCUCUGGUGGCCAUGAAGGCCAAUGGCUCCCUGGGCUGCACGGCACAGAGCGUGGGCUGCAGGGUGAGAACGCUUCUCCUCCCCUCUGCUCUGCGCUGGGGGGGCCACAGCUGCAGCGCUGGGCUCCCCAGCUCUGAGCCAUGCAGAUCCUGCUGGAAGAUGCCUUAAGGCCCACGCAUGAUGAGCUGCACGUGAUGAGCAGCAGAGGAAGCACUGAGCGUUGCAGCUCAUCCUGCAGCAGCAGAGGAGGCACUGAGCGUUGCAGCUCAUCCUGCAGCAGCAGAGGAGGCACUGAGCGUUGCAGCUCAUCCUGCAGCAGCAGAGGAGGCACUGAGCGUUGCAGCUCAUCCUGCAGCAGCAGAGGAGGCACUGAGCGUUGCAGCUCAUCCUGCAGCAGCAGAGGAAGCACUGAGCGUUGCAGCUCAUCCUGCAGCAGCAGAGGAGGCACUGAGCGUUGCAGCUCAUCCUGCAGCAGCAGAGGAGGCACUGAGGGUUGCAGCACCUCUUGGAGCCCUGCGGCCGACGCGCAGCGUGUUGACGAGCCGUCCCUUUUGGGGACGAGAGCCGGGAUGCUGCCCUUCCCCUUCUGGCCAGGAGAUGUCCUGCUCGGCCUGCACAGCGUUCCUGCUGCUGCUGGGAACCGCUGCCGGCUGUGCCAGCUUGGUUUCCAUAGCUGUUGGCCCAGAUGCUCCCCGGGUGCGAUGCUUCCCCUCUGCUCCAGCCAGACCCCCCCCACGGUUAUGAGCCCUGCAUGCGUUGAGCAUCAGCCCCACGUUACUCCCAGCCCAGCGCCAACGGCGGGGCUGCCCUGAGUCAGCCAGCAAGCAGCUUUGGAGUAAUAAAUCCUUCCCAACCUGCGUUGUUUGACUCUCCGAGCAUCUCCUAACUCAUCUUCUCUCCUUUGCUUUCAGAAGAUGCUCUGCUGGAAGCCGCGAGGAUCAACAACGUUUCGGAAGUCAACAGGUGAGCAGAGCCCUGGAGGCGCCUGAGAGAGCUUUUUGGUGGCCUGGAAGCUCGCACGGGAUGGGGGCAGAGGCUCCCCUCCGCUGUGCCCCCCACACUGCUGCAGGGAGGAGGAGGAGAUCCCCACGGCCAGAGCUGCUCCUUGCAGCCGUGGGCGGUGCUCGGAGGAAGCAGCGUGGCUCCGUGCAGCCCAGGGCUGAGCUCUGGCCUGGAUCAAGGGCUGAACAGGGGAUAUUGGCGUGCAGCUAAUUGGCACGCGGGUUCUGCUGCUCGUAAUUGCAGGAAGCUGCUGCUCAACGACGUCUGGGUGAUGGGUGAGCCUGCCCGGGCAGAGCAGCAGCAGGGAUGCUCCGUGCCCCCCAUGCUCAGGGUGGGGAGCGCAGUGCGUGUGUUCCAGCUGGGAAGCAGCUGCCAGGACCUGGUUUUUUCCAUGCUGCACAGACUGG